GAUGAACGCUGGCGGCGUGCCUAAUACAUGCAAGUCGGACGGAGCGCUUCGGCGCUCAGUGGCGAACGGGUGAGUAGCACAUGGGCAACCUGCCCUUCAGAGGGGGACAACAGCUGGAAACGGCUGCUAAGACCGCAUAGGCGCGGACGGGACAUCCCGUCCACGUUAAACGUCCUUUCGGGGACGGCUGAAGGAUGGGCCUGUGGCGCAUUAGCUUGUUGGCGGGGCAACGGCCCACCAAGGCGACGAUGCGUAGCCGGCCUGAGAGGGCGGACGGCCACACUGGGACUGAGACACGGCCCAGACUCCUACGGGAGGCAGCAGUAGGGAAUUUUCGGCAAUGGGGGGAACCCUGACCGAGCAACGCCGCGUGAACGAGGAAGGCCUUCGGGUCGUAAAGUUCUGUUGCGAAGGAAGAACGCCGGAGGGAGGAAAUGGCCUCCGGGUGACGGUACUUCGCGAGAAAGCCACGGCUAACUACGUGCCAGCAGCCGCGGUAAU
rnacentral:rRNA from 1 species